CCUACGGGUGGCAGCAGUGAGGAAUAUUGGUCAAUGGGCGCGAGCCUGAACCAGCCAAGUAGCGUGAAGGAUGACUGCCCUACGGGUUGUAAACUUCUUUUAUAAAGGAAUAAAGUGAGGCACGUGUGCCUUUUUGUAUGUACUUGAUGAAUAAGGAUCGGCUAACUCCGUGCCAGCAGCCGCGGUAAUACGGAGGAUCCGAGCGUUAUCCGGAUUUAUUGGGUGUAAAGGGAGCGUAGAUGGGUUGGUAAGUCAGUUGUGAAAGUUUGCGGCUCAACCGUAAAAUUGCAAUUGAUACUGGCAGCCUUGAGUACAGUUGAGGUAGGUGGAAUGCGUGGUGUAGCGGUGAAAUGCUUAGAUAUCACGAAGAACACCGAUGGCGAAGGCAGCUUACGAAACUGCCACUGACAUUGAUGCGCGAAAGCGUGGGGAGCAAACAGGAUUAGAUACCCCAGUAGUC
rnacentral:rRNA from 1 species